rnacentral:tRNA from 2 species
GCGAGUCAGGCGGGCGGGGAGCGUGUGGCUUCGGACCACAAGGUUCCAGGUUCAACUCCUGGUGGGUGCACCA